CUUGAAUCUGGGAGACGGAGGUUGCAGUGAGCCGAGAUGGUGCCACUGCACUCCAGCCUGAAUGACAGAGCGAGACUCUGUCUCAAAAAUAAAAUAAAAAAAUAACGUGGGGUACUUGAUGCCUUUGUCUGUAGCUUGGCCUCAGGCACCAUUUCUGGGGCAACAGAAAACUUCAUUCCAUGCCUCAUCCUGGUAUGCAUGCAAAAAUGUUCAUUGCCCCAUUAUCUGCAACCAUGAAAAACUGGAAACGACCCUCAGGCCUAACAGUAGGGGAGGGUUAUAAACUUUGCAAGAGCAGGAACAACAUCUGCCUUGUUCAUUGUUAGGUCUGCAGUGCCCAGCGUGGUGCCCUGCACACAGUAGGUGCUCAGGAAACAUCUGUGGAAGGAAGAGAAUAAAGGAGGGAGGAAGGAAAGGAGGGGGAAAAAAGGAAGAAGAAACUUUGAAAGUUCUUCCGGAAUCCCAGAAAGCAAACCCUUCCCUGCUUCCGCCGCACUGGAGAAGAUGCACCUUUUGGGGGGCUGUGACUGUUCAUUUUUAAAACUUCCAUCCAAUGCCCCCAAAACUUAAUUCCAUUUUGAGUGUUUUUCUUUUUUCAUUUUCAUCCUCCACUGUUUUUUUAACGCUCACUGUUGAAUUUCUCGUUUGGAGAGGCUGAUUGAAUUGUGGCUCAGGGGACUUGAGACAGUCACUUCAGACAUUUAGAGUUCCAAUCACGCUGUCGCCACCCCAGUCCCCCACCCUUGGCACCAGGGAAACUAUCUCUUAUGAGAGCUGAUUAUCUUUACAGCCUAGAACAUCACACUCUAAAACACAGGCUGUGCAAAUCAGAAUUCUCCGUGACUAAUGUACAUCCAGUGAAAAUAUCAAAAUGCCCAUUUAACAGGAGAGGGCUGAUUGGAAAAGCCCACCUGAUCUGCUGGUGAAGUUCCGUGGCUGAUGUCAUUUGAGAGUCACCGGGUCCAGGCCUGGGGAAGGCUGUGAGAUCACCUGUCUGGGGGCUACUCUGUCUCAUCCCUCAGGGCCCAGUCAGUGCCCACGGUCCUCCCUCCAGAGAGAGUGGCAGGCAGGGGAGGCCAGCGGACGGGGAGGCAGGCACAUCAAGUGAGCACCUACUGUGUGCUGGGCACUGUGCCAGGAAGGACCUCAUGCAGUCUGAGAACAACCUUGCCAGGUGAGAUUUAUUUAUCACCCUUUUGCAGAGGGAGCUUCCUAUGGGAUCUCAAAGGAUAAAGAGGAGUUAGUCGGGGGAAGUGGAGAGGCCUGGAAAGGCAUUCCAUGAAGAGGAGACGUCAUUGCAAAGGCAAGAGGCAAUAAAAUAGAACACAAGCAGUCUGGUGUUGCUGAAGCUUAAAGUGCCAGCAGGGAGAGGGAAGGACAAGGCUGGAGAGGUGGACAGGGAAGGAGCAGGGAGACACAACUAGAAGCCUGGAGAAGCUGGAGCGGGCUGUCACUGUCAUUCAGGAGAGAGAUGACGGAGGCUGUAGAGAUGUGUGCUGGAGGCAAAGCCAGCAGGACUGGGUGACUGAUUCAAUGCCCACGGAGGCUGAGGGGUGGUGAGGACCCAAGGAUGACACCCAGAUUCCAUCUCCAGAGCUGAUGGCGGGGCUGCCUCUGAUUCGGGGACUCAAGGGAGGCACUGAUGGAGGAAAGAUGCUGCUUUGCUUCGUGGACAUGCUGGGUUCAUUGUGCUCACAAGACAUGAGCCCAGGAUGACAGGGUCUGACUCAUAGUGGGUCUAGACCCAAAAUCGAGGCACAGAUGUUGGUCAUGAGCUUGACAAUGAUCCCUACAGCCACAGAUCAGAGGGGUGCACAUGGAGCGUGGGGGAGGCUGCAGAUGAGCACCCUGAUCAUUCAUCCUGCACACAAGUUCCAUUUGGCCUGCAAUGUUUCAAAAAUCUUUGAGCCAAUGUUUAAAAAUCAAGCACACUCUCUUAAAAAUACAAAUCUCUGGUUUUUCUUAGAAACUCAGAAGACCUGGCAACAGAGGCUGGAAAUUUCUCAAAGCAACCAUCACCGAGGAUUGGCUGUCCCUUAGACAGGGGCACGCACUCUCCUGUUCACCACAGCCCCACCCUUGUCUAUUGGCUCCCAGAACCACAGGCAGGAGAGUGAGGCUGGUGAGACCCCCACAUAGCUGGGUCACCAGACUGGUCAGCGACAGAGCCGGGAUUCUAGCUCAGGCCCCUCUGCUUCCAAUGCCACCUGCUAUGCUGCCUCCCAGGUCUGGUGACUGUGUGUCAUGGUUCAUCUGGAGUUCACAAGCAGGCCAAGGGUGGCUCCAGGCCUUUCUUGCACAGGCAUUGAACGCGACCCUCCGACCUCUCUAUUGUUACAUCUUUUCCCCUGCUGAGACCUCAUCAGCCUCCGAUCUUGGCUGAGAUAUCAUGUCCUCCCACAAACCCUCCUGAGCCAGGAACCCUCUUCCCAGUGGGACUCACUACAGAGAGGACCCAGCCUGUGGUGAUGAUGAUGAAGAAGUGGAUGGCUACGGCCUUUCUAAUUUUCCCACCAAACUGUGAGCUUCCAGACAGCUGGCAUAGAAGUACCCAAAACAUGUUUGUAGAAUGAAUGAAUGGCCUUCACAAGCUAAGGAACCCAUGGCUUCUUCACUGUCACUGAUUAGCAGUGGGCCCUGGAGCUUCUCUGAGCCUUGGGCUUCACAUCCAGCACAUGGGGCUCACGAGACCUGUGCUUCCUGUGUCUGCCCCACUGAGCUCUCUCCACCCUGCUGCGGGCUUAUAGGCCCCCAGCUCACAGCUAGAGUGGGUUGAAUAAUGUCCCCCAAAAUUCACACCCACCCGAACCCUCAGAAUGGGACCUUAUUUGGAAAUGGAGUCUUUGCAGAUGUAACUAAGGUGAGGAUCACAAUGAGAUCAUAUUAGAUUAGAGUGAGCUCCAAAUGCAAUGACAGGCAUCCUUGUAAGAGACAGAAAAGGACACAGAGAAGGCCAUGUGGAGGUGGAGGCAGAGUUUGGGACGAUGCAGCAGCCAGCCAAGGAGCACCCAAGAAUGCUGGGAGCUACCAGAAGCCACAAGGGCCAAAGAGGAUCCUCCUCCACCAGACGCUCUGCUGAUACCUAGAUUUUGGACUUCUGAUCCCUUGAACUGUGAGAAAAUACAUUUGCUGUUUUAACUGAAGUUGGUGUGUCCACAUUACAGGCUGCUGAGGUGGCCUGGCCACACACCUGCCUGGUGUCGUCCCUACUUGGAGCAGUGAGGUUUGACUCCACAGGAUCACAGCUGCUGCAAAGCUGUCUUCACAUCACUGAGGGAAAUGGAAGGCAACCUUAGAAGUUUCAUCUCUAUCCUCUCCUGGCCCCAAAUUAUUGCCUGAGAACCUAAUUUCCUUUCUCCCUUUCUUCCUGUUUUCUGUCCCUUCUUUCCUUCCUCCUUCCCUUUCCUCCCGUCCUUUCCUGCCUGCCUGCAAUUGCCUUAGUCUCAUGCCCUCCAUCCCAUCUAGCUCCAGCCUCCCUCUUCAGUUCUACCUCCCACCCACUCCAAGCAAGCCCCUUCCCCCAGCCAACUCCUCCCAAGGCAGCCCCUGGCCUCCCUGCCGUGUCUCCCUCAGCAGGUUCCCUUGGUCUAUGGUGCUCCGCCUCACAGGCAUACGUGGAAAAUCUGCUCCUUCACGUGCAAGCUCAGAUCCCACCUCCUCCUGGCACACCCUGGCGACAGUACUUCCCUCUGACUUUCCACCACACCGGUGUUCACAUAAAUGUCUUCGUACCUGAUCUGUGCCAGGUGGACCUAGGGGCCAGGAAGUACAGUGACCUCGCCAUCUGGUAAGGGAGUGGGAAAUGAUGAAGAGACAGCGUUGACAGGUGGGCAGCAGAGGAGGAAGCAGCAGCUUUUGCAGGACAGGGAGGGCUGUGUCCAGGAGGGAAGGGCCACAGGGACAGAGCACAUGCUCCAAGAGACAGGGAAGUCUGGGUAACAGGAUUUGGGGUUCAAAGGGAAAUGAAAAUGGGGGCCAGGUCAUGAGGUCAAGUUAGCCAUUCUGAGGACUUGAUCCUGUCGACGUUGAGUGUUCUGAGUGUGGGCUCCAGCCCACCUACAUCAGAAUUACCUCAGGAGUUUGUGAAAAUGCAAUUUUUUUUUGAGACAGAGUCUCACUCUGUUGCCCAGGCUGGAGUACAGUGGUGCAAUCUCAGCUCACUGCAACCCCUGCUUCCCGGGUUCAAGCAAUCCUCCUGCCUCAGCCUCCCGAGUAGCUGGGAUUACAGGCAUGUGCCCCCACGCCCGGCUAAUUUUUGUAUUUUCAGUAGAGACGAGGUUUCACCAUGUUGGCCAGGGUGGUCUCCAACUCCUGGCCUCAAGCGAUCCACCUGCCUCAGCCUCCCAAAGUGCUAGGAUUACAGGUGUGAGCCAUCGCACACCCAGCAGUGAAAAUGCAAUUCUUGAGUCUCCACCCAGCUCGGGAUUUUUCACAAGCUCCUUGGAUAAUGGUGACGCACCUUUAGUCUGCCCAGAACAGGAGAGGAUGGAGGCAGACUGAGGGAUUCGAAAGGACCAAGUGUCACGAUCAGAUCCACUUUUUGGAAGAAACUGGUAGCACCAACUACAUACGUGUCUUAUGUUCUUGGUUCUGCCUCCAUGGUGCACACUGUCGGUGCCACCUACUCAGCAACUAUCCCUCCUUCUUCCUUGUUAACAGAAGCCCAAUUCUAUUCAGCAUCAAGUAAGUGGACAUUAAUAUAUUCAGGGAAGGGAGGCUCCACCCCUAGCCCUACAGGAGAGCCCUAUUUGUCCCUUUUGUCCCGUACAAACAUUCCAGACUCCCUUGCAGCAAGAAGUGGCAAUGUGACAGUUAUGGUCCAUGAGGCAUAAGGGACAAGUUGUAAGAUGACUCUGGGGAAACCUGGCCUGUUAACAUGGGCUCAGGUGAAGGAAAAGCUGGCGGGUGCUGGGCCUGCUGCUUCUUGACACUGCGCAUGUGAGGAAGGGCCAUCUCACAACCAAGAGACAGCAAGACUUCCAGCCAGGUGUGGUGGCUCACUCCUAUAAACCCAGCACCUUGGGAGGCUGAGGUGGGAGCAUCGCUUGAGCCCAGGAGUCCAAGAUCAGCCUAGGCAACAUCGUGAGACUCCCUCUCUACAGAAAAUUUAAAAAUUAGCUGGGAGUAGCGGCGUGUGCCAGCUACUCAGGAGGCUGAGGUGGGAGGAUUGCUUGAGCCCAGAAGUUUGAGGCUGCAGUAAGCCAUGAUUACAGCACUGUACCCAAGCCUGGGUGACAAAGUGAGACCCUGUCUCAAAAAAAAAAAAAAGAAAAGAAAAAGCCUCUAUGUGUGCAGGGUGCCAGAGCAGAAGGAUGCAAAGAACCUGGUUCUUGAGGACAUGGUUCAGCCACUACCCCAAAUCCAGAACCACCCCCUCGCCCCACCACCAAGAUUUCUUGUCCUGAGAUUGUUAGACUGUAACCACCUUGAGGGCAGGGACUCUGAUACCUGUACUCCUGGCACCUUGAACAGUACUUAGCACACAGUAGGUGCUCAAUAAAUAUCUGUUGACUAAGUUUUCAUAAAUAAGUAAAUGUCUCCAUUGCUUAUACCAGUGGGUUGAGGCUUCUGUUGCUUGUAGCCAAGGAAUCCUGACUCAGUAACUUCUCUCUCUGGCCCCAAGAACCUCCUGAGAACAGGAGAGGGGCUGGGUAUUACUGAACACUGUACUCCACAGGCCCUGGCACAAGACCCACACUCGGUAGAAAUAAGCAGCUCUUGCUCAGAGGAGUCACAGACCCUGCCCUGGACCUGGCUUCUGGGUUCACCAGAGCUGGAGGGUUGAGUCUGCAAGUUCCCCUCACACAGACCUAGGGCAAGACGCCCUGUAACAGCUGAUGAGAGGAGCUUAAGAAAGUCCACUGGGGGCCGGGCGCGGUGGCUCACGCCUGUAAUCCCAGCACUUUGGGAGGCCGAGGUGGGCGGAUCAUGAGGUCAGGAGAUCGAGACCAUCCUGACUAACAUAGUGAAACCCUAUCUCUAUUAAAAAUAGAAAAAAUUAGCCAGGCAUGGUGGUGGGCGCCUGUUGUCCCAGCUACUCAGGAGGCUGAGGCAGAAGAAUGGCGUGAAUCCGGGAGGAGAGCUUUCAGUGAGCCGAGAUCGCGCCACUGCACUCCAGCCUGGGCGACAGAGCAAGACUCCAUCUCCAAAAAAAAAAAAGAAAGUCCACUAGGUCUCCCACACCAGCGAUACCCAGAGGCCACACCAGCUGCAGGCUGAGCGGGUGGAAGCUGGCAGCAAGCACUGCCACUAGAUUUGUCUUGAGGUGAAAGAACUUCUGAGACUAGCCAGAUCCAACCUCCACACAAGUCAGGAAUUUUUAAGCCACUGUCUUCAAGUCCCUCCCAGUUCUAAGUGUGGCAGCCCUGGGAUGCCGCAAUGAGGGAUGAGGGACAGGGCAUGAGCCGCUCAA
rnacentral:lncRNA from 1 species